AUGAACUGCAGUGUAGCCAUGCCAGCCUGCCUUAGAGCCAACUGAGUGUGGACUGAAACCUCCAAAAACUGUAAGAAAUAAACCUUUCCUUUUUCAACUUGGACUUGAGGUAUUUCGUCUCAGCAAUGAGUAAAAAGACAUCUUCAGGAAUGGUCACCUAACCUAACAAUCAUUAGGCUAUUCUGCCAACAAAAUCCAUUGUAGCAGCUCUCUUUUUCCUACAUUCAUUUCAGAAAGAAUCACUUAUUUUGGAAGAAUCCAAGUGAUCAUAUAAAGUUAUCUGCAGCUAUUUUGAAGACAUCAAAAGACAUUA